AGUGAACGCUGGCGGUAGGCCUAACACAUGCAAGUCGAACGGCAGCACAGUAAGAGCUUGCUCUUACGGGUGGCGAGUGGCGGACGGGUGAGGAAUAUAUCGGAAUCUACUCUUUCGUGGGGGUUAACGUAGGGAAACUUACGCCAAUAUCGCAUACGACCCACGGGUGAAAGCAGGGGAUCUUCGCACCUUGCGCGAUUGAAUGAGCCGAUGUCGGAUUAGCUAGUUGGCGGGGUAAAGGCCCACCAAGGCGACGAUCCGUAGCUGGUCUGAGAGGAUGGUCAGCCACACUGGAACUGAGACACGGUCCAGACUCCUACGGGAGGCAGCAGUGGGGAAUAUUGGACAAUGGGCGCAAGCCUGAUCCAGCCGUGCCGCGUGGGUGAAGAAGGCCUUCGGGUUGUAGAGGCCUUUUGUUGGGAAAGAAAGGCAGCAGGUUAAUACCCCGCUGUUCUGACGGUACCCAAAGAAUAAGCACCGGCUAACUUCGUG
rnacentral:rRNA from 1 species